GACUGCGUAGCUCAGUUGGCAGAGCAUUGGACUAGUAUUCCAAAGGUCGUAGGUUCGAUUCCCACCGUGGCCA